CGAAAAAAGUGGUGUGUCUCCACUCUAAGAAGAUUCAUAUACGUCUUAAGGAUAACAGACAAUGACAUCUCUGAUGUACACAGUAAAAUGUGACUCUGAUUCAUGAAGCACUGCUUAUUGAAGCAAGGUGUUGAGUAUUUCCUAACAGAUAAAUUUACAUGGAUAGCCUUGCAGUAUACUAGAGCCUGAAAAUGCCAAGAAACCUGUUGACCUAUGGAGAGGGCUCGGUCAGAUGGCACCUCAACUUUGGAGCUCCAGUAAAUGGGGAACAGUGAUGGACAUCGUGGGAAUUGGAAGCACAUGCAAAGGAAAAUAAAGAAGAUUUGGGCCAGCAGUGAAUAAACCUUGUAGAAGGACAAGAGGUCCUGAGUUCAAAUCCCAG